rnacentral:rRNA from 1 species
AACGAACGCUGGCGGCAUGCCUAACACAUGCAAGUCGAACGAGACCUUCGGGUCUAGUGGCGCACGGGUUCGUAACGCGUGGGAACCUUCCCUUAGGUUCGGAAUAACUCCCCGAAAGGGGUGCUAAUACCGGAUAAUGUCUUCGGACCAAAGAUUUAUCGCCUUUGGAUGGGCCCGCGUUGGAUUAGCUCGUUGGUAGGGUAAAAGCCUACCAAGGCGACGAUCCAUAGCUGGUCUGAGAGGAUGAUCAGCCACACUGGGACUGUGACACGGCCCAGACUCCUACGGGAGGCAGCAGUGGGGAAUAUUGGACAAUGGGCGAAAGCCUGAUGCAGCAAUGACGCGUGAGUGAUGAAGGCCUUAGGGUUGUAAAGCUCUUUUACCCGGGAUGAUAAUGACAGUACCGGGAGAAUAAGCCCCGGCUAACUACGUG